UCCCUUGUAAUCAGGCUAGAUUAAUAACUACUGUUUGCUGGACAAUAACCUGCAAAUCCAACCCAGGACGAAAGGAUUUCUUCAGGACUGGCCGAGGACUGGAUCAACCUCUGUUGCUGCUGACUGAGAGAGGAGAGAGACUGCCUUUGUGGACUUCUUCUGGACUGCACCUGGUGGACAUCUGCCUGGACUUCUGACUGUGGAGGAUCAACUGUGCUGGACAUCAGGAGAGGAAGACUGGUAUUCCCAUGCCUCCAUUGUUAUUUCUUUAUGAAAAUUCAUUGGCCCUGCAGGCCUCCUCUGCAGGGUGGGCUUUUGUGUUUCCUGUGGCUGGGCCUACCAUUUCUGCUUGAGAAACAGCAUCGAGGAGGAGAGGAGGACCAGCUGCAUGACUGCCUGAACAUCACUGGACUGCAGGACUGGAUACCGUUGUUCUUCCAGAUCUACGCUCUGUUCUUCUUGAUCCUAAGCAAUGGGAGACACCUGAGGCAUUCAACCCAAAUCAUUUUUUGGACAAGGAUGGAAGUUUUCUGGAAAGAGAAGCAUUUCUUCCAUUCGGUGCAGGGGGCCGUGAGUGCCUGGGACAACAAAUAGUAAAGAAUGAGCUCUUCAUCUUCUUCAUCAACCUGUUGAGGUCAUUCACUUUCCAGCUGCCAGAAGGAGUAAAGCAGCUCAGUGAAGAACCUAUACUUGGGACAUCAUUGUCCCCCCAACCUUAUAAGAUCUGUGCUGUUCCCCGCUGCAGCACAUCAUAAGCUAUACAAAUUGGAGUGUCCACUUGUUACCUUCAAUUUCUUCUUCAUUCCUUUCAUGUCAUCCUAACCCUGAGCUGACCUGAUCAGUUCAUUCUUUCCUUGAUUCCUCUGUCAGAGUUUGACUGAUGCCUCCUCAAGAUAGAAUUCUGGCAGAUCUACGAUGUGGCUGGUUGCUAAACUUGUACUAUUACCUGACUAAUGAUCUUAUUUGUAGUCUGAGAUCUUCAACUAAAUACUCGAUAUGGAAUUCUGGUAAUAUAUAACACCCGACAUUUCUCUUUUUUUUAUAUGCUUUUCAAAGAAGUGACGGGUUGCAUAGAGGAAAGAGAUGUAUCAGAACUGAGUUAAAGAACAAAUUUAUGCAUAAAGAAUAUUUACACACAAGCCUUACAUCUACUGCAGUCUUUACGAAUGCUGAUUUUUAAAAUUGUUAAUUGAUAAGGGGAUUACAGGGGAGGCAUUUGUACUGUGUAUGAGAACUUGGAAUAAUGUUGGUCCUGCAUUCACAUUAGAGAGCAAAUGAAGGAAAGAGACAUUCAAACCUCAUGUAUGAAAAGAGCCUUAGAAGAAUGUGUAUUGAAGCAUCAAAAAUGGAAUUUAAAACAAUAGUUUAACUCAGUCUGCUUGUCUUCAGCUGAGAACUCGAGACAGCAAGGACAGCAAGACUCCCUAUGAAUGGGCAACCAAGGAUGGAUGAGAGAGAAGAAGGGACAGUAAAAGACAACAAAAGACAAUAAAAGACAACAAAAGAAUUGCCACAGCAUCCUUGGAAUGUGAUAUGAAUGGAGGAUUAGGGCACAAUAAACAAGACCUGACACAGUAGACAUAAUUGUGAGGAAUUCAAAUGCCCUAGCCACUAAAGAAAAUUUAGACUCGAGAGGUCAUAAGAGUCACAUUAGAAGCACAGUGCUACUUCCUGCUUUAUCAGGCAAAUAGGAAAUGCAUUUUUAAACCUCAGGUGCCAAAUUAAACACCUGUUGUAAACGUGAGUGAAGUGAUCACCACUGAGUUCCUUCAAGGGGACUGUCAACCUGGGAGAUGACUUGUGUUCUUCAUCAGGAAUGGAUUUCUUAUCUCCCUCAACAACUACUUAUCUCCUUAUAGUACAUACCUCAAGUAUACAUUGUGAGGUCAUACAUUUAGAUAGCAGAAGUUGCAGAUGGACAUUGAACAAGGAGAGCAGUCACACCAACUGGACCGAUAAAGUUUCAGGUAUGUAGCUGUGUUGGUCUGCAGUUGAACAGCAGGAUUUGGGUCAAUUGGCACCUCAGAGAGCAACAAAAUAUUCAGGGUGUGAGCUUUCGAGAGUCAGAUCUCUGAGUCUUUAGAUCUCAGCCAAAAGGUGGGUUAGGGAAGGUAAAGAAGGGAGUUAGGAUGCCAAUCUCAUUUUACAGAGGAGUCUAAGAAGGGCACCCCCCUCAGCUCUGCUCUUGAUUUUUCCCUUAAAUCUUUAGAAAGCACGAUUAAAGCAAAGAAAUGUAAAGGUUUUGAGACUGGCUCUUGUCAGUAUGUAAUCUCUAUAUAUGGAGAUGAUAUUGUAUUAUUUCUAACUGAUGUGGUCCGUUUUAAUGCUGAAUUAAAAGUUAUUAUUGAUCUAUA